GACGAACGCUGGCGGCGUGCCUAACACAUGCAAGUCGAACGGAACUGUUUUGAAAGAUUUCUUCGGAAUGAAUUUGAUUUAGUUUAGUGGCGGACGGGUGAGUAACGCGUGAGUAACCUGCCUUCAAGAGGGGAAUAACAUUCUGAAAAGAAUGCUAAUACCGCAUGACAUAUCGGAACCACAUGGUUUUGAUAUCAAAGAUUUUAUCGCUUGAAGAUGGACUCGCGUCCGAUUAGUUAGUUGGUGAGGUAACGGCUCACCAAGACCGCGAUCGGUAGCCGGACUGGGAGGUUGAACGGCCACAUUGGGACUGAGACACGGCCCAGACUCCUGCGGGAGGAAGCAGUGGGGGAUAUUGCGCAAUGGGGGCAACCCUGACGAAGCAACGCCGCGUGAAGGAGGAAGUUUUUCGGAUUGUAAACUUCUUUUAUUAAGGACGAAAAAUGACGGUACUUAAUGAAGAAGCUCCGGCUAACUACGUG
rnacentral:rRNA from 1 species